rnacentral:lncRNA from 1 species
UUUAAAAGUAUAACUCUUGUCAUAUAACGUUGAGAGCAAGAGGAGAGUUUAAAUAAAACAACAAAAAAGUUAAAAGUUAUACUAAUCAAAAUUUAAAGAAAGGUCUCUUUAUCAAAAUUUUUAUUUUCUUUUCCCGGGAAGAAUAACUUAAUAAUGACCAUAAUUCAAAAUAUCAAUAAAGGUCAUACAUUGAACAUUUAAACAAUCAUCAAUUCCUGCCAAGAAAAAACUCAAGAGUUAUCUCAUUACUAAAUCAGUGCUCAACAUUUUUGUGGGAGAUGGAAAUCCAAAAGCAACAUUAUAGGCAUGGCUGAAAGCCCAACAAAAU